GGGGGAGGACAGUGCUUUGGUCUAGGGCCUCAUAGGGUCGGGAAGGGCUUCCCCGCGUCCCCUCCCGUGCAAGCCGCCGCCUCCUCCUCUCGUUCGUGAAGCCUCCUCUCCCUCGCGCACGGUACUGCCACCCACCACCUCCACCUCGCACUCGCGCACCCACCGUCGCCCGCCACCCCGCUCUUCCUCACCCCCUCCUCUGCCUCGCGCAAAGCACACCCUACUACAGGCGGCAGGACCGCACAACUUGCCCCAGAUCCGAAACGGUCUCCUGUCUCCUCAACUCACGCAUGACGACCUCCUCAGCUCCCCCAUCCGCAUCUCGCGAAGCUUUGGUAGCUGAGCACGCAGCGGAUGGGCGGACGUUGUUGUUUCGCCACAUGGAGGAGACGGGCCGGGCGGUGGCUAAACUGCGACCGGAGGAGAUGGGGAAGGCGCUGGGGGAGUCGUCGGAGGAUUCUGAUGGCAAAGAGAGUAAUCGCUCUCAUUGUUGAGUUCCGUGGCAUCCAGGAGGACAAGAGGAGCACCAUCGGUGGGGAAAUCACCAAGGUGUUCAACAGAUGGUUGCUAGAAUCACGUAUGUCCGCAAUGGGAUCACGCACUCUCAUCAAGUAGGAGUAUUGCCUAAGGUGUUCAACAGAUGGUGCUAGUUUAGGAGCCACAAAGCUAGAGUAGAUCGGAGGGGCUAUAAUCUCCUUCUUAUUCAAAAUUGAAUACGAAGUGGAUUGUAGCCCCUCCAAUCCCCUCCGAUUUUGUGGCUUUCAAACUAGCCCUGAGCUAGAUUUCCCGAAGUUCACUACGGAGGAUCCAAUUGUGUGGCUGGUAAAGUGCUUGGAUUUACUUCAGUAUUUUCAAGGUGUCAGUGGCUAUGUGGGUUUCUGCCGUGUCCAUGCACAUGGAAGACAACACAUCACAGUGGUGGCAAGUGCACAUAGACGUGGUAAUGCAUUUUAAAUUUUAUAUUAUAAAAUUUAAGAAUCGGAUCAUAUUAAAAUAGGACUUUAUUUCUAUUUAUUUUUUAAAUAAAAUUAAUUAAGGGCUCAAACAAUUAGUUAAGAAAUAUUUGUAUCGUGAUCUAUUACCAUCCCUAGGUGCACAAGCUGCAAUAUGGUUUGAACUAUUGGGUGUAGUUUGUAGCUACAGUGAAGGCUAAGGGGUUUAAAUUGGAGAUUUUUUGUGACGCAAUUUGUUAAGGGGUUUAAAUUGGAGAUUUAGAGCAUGGUGCAGAUACACUUGUUUAGGGUGUGUUUGGUUGGAGAGUCAACUAGAAUGGAGCGGCUUUAUUCUAGUUUCUGAGAAUGGAGCCAUUUUAUUCCAUGUUUGGCAAGUAGAACAAAGCCACUUCAAUUUUUGUUUGGUUGAAGAGUAAAAUGGAAUGGAGCCACUCCGCUCUUUGUUUGAUUGGAUAGUUUAUGAGUAUAGAGGAGAGAAGAAUGUUCGUAUCCAGGAGAACGCUUAUGUUUGGUCGUUUUGGUUGGAGCGGGGGUAUCCUAACUAUUGAUGAUAUAUUUUCAUAUGGAUAUUCCAGGAGCCGCUUUGCUCUCCAGUUGUUGGAAACCAAACAUCCAAAAAAUAGGAAUAGAGCCCCCUAUUCUACACCCCUCAACCAGACACACCCUUAGUGGAUCGGACAGUGUUAUUGGCUCAGAUUCAACAAGAAAUGCUUAUCAGAAGUAAAUAUAAAGCUUGGAAGGGAGCUUAUAUGCCUAAACAUGUUAAUGUAGCUGCUAAAUCAGAUUCCAAGAGUGGUUCACAUGUGGUGGAAUUAAGUAGGGAAUGUCACGUUAGGAAGUUCAGAAAGGUGAAUGCCUUGUGUUAUGCAUGUGAUGAUAAAUUUGAGCCACAAGAGAAGUGCUCCACACUUGAAUAUUAUGUUUAUUGAGGAUAUGAACAUGGUGUUAACUAAUGAGGUAUUACAGAAGAUGGCAAUAAAGAGGUCUGCUGCCCGUUGUAUCUACUA